rnacentral:rRNA from 1 species
GACGAACGCUGGCGGCGUGCUUAACACAUGCAAGUCGAACGGAAAGGCCCUGCUUGCCGGGUGCUCGAGUGGCGAACGGGUGAGUAACACGUGGGUGAUCUGCCCCUUACUUUGGGAUAAGCCUGGGAAACUGGGUCUAAUACUGGAUAGGACCAUGCUGUAGGUGGUGUGGUGGAAAGAUUAGUUUCGGUAAGGGAUGAGCUCGCGGCGGAUCAGCUUGUUGGUGGGGUAAUGGCCUACCAAGGCGUCGACGGGGAGCCGGCCGGAGAGGGUGGACGGCCACAUUGGGACUGCGAUACGGCGCAGCAUACUACGAGAGGCGGCAGUGGGGGAUAUUGCACAAUAGGCGCAAGACUGAUGCAGCGACGCCGCGUGGGGGAUGACGGCCUUCGGGUUGUAAACACCUUUCAGCCAUGACGAAGCCCUUGUGGUGACGGUAGUGGUAGAAGAAGCACCGGCUAACUACGUG